CCUACGGGAGGCAGCAGUGAGGAAUAUUGGUCAAUGGGCGUAAGCCUGAACCAGCCAUGCCGCGUGAAGGAUGAAGGCCCUCAGGGUUGUAAACUUCUUUUGUACGGGACGAAACCCUCGAACGUGUUCGAGGCUGACGGUACCGUACGAAUAAGCAUCGGCUAACUCCGUGCCAGCAGCCGCGGCUAAUACAGAGGAUGCGAGCGUUAUCCGGAUUCAAUGGGUUUAAAGGGUGCGUAGGCGGGACGGUAAGUCAGUGGUGAAAUCCUGCAGCUUAACUGUACAAUUGCCAUUGAUACUGAUGUUCUUGAGUGCAGUUGAGGUGAGCGGAAUGUGUAUUGUAGCGGUGAAAUGCUUACAUAUUACACAGAACACCGAUUGCGAAGGCAACUCACUAAACUGUAACUGACGCUGAGGCACGAAAGCGUGGGGAGCAAACAGGAUUAGAUACCCUGGUAGUCCACGCCCUAAACGAUGAUCACUCGCUGUUGGCGACAUACUGUCAGCGGCUAACCGAAAGCAUUAAGUGAUCCACCUGGGGAGUACGCUCGCAACACUGAAACUCAAAUGAAUUGACGG
rnacentral:rRNA from 1 species